AUGGCUAAGGAGUAUGUGGUCGUUCUCUAUCCUAAGUUGGAUUUAAGCCCCAUGGACAUGUUAAAAGUUGUAUGUGGUGGCCAUCUAGUGGAUUUCUCUGAAGGUUCCCAUCCUUUUGACCAUGUUGCUUCUCUUGCCAAUGAUGUUCAAACUGGGCAUGAGGCUGACAAGGCUCCAGAGGAUGCCAAUAUGGUGGUGACUUCCCCUGGAGAUACUCUAGAGGAGAAGUUGGCUCCUAAGAAGGGCCAAUGA